UUUAAAGCUUCCAAACUGGGAUUAGAUACCCCACUAUUCUUAGAAGUAAAAGAAUGCUAGUUUACCAGAGUACUAUGAACUCGUAGAUUUAAAACUCAAAGGGCUUGGCGGUGUUUUAGACUCUUCAGGGGAACCUGUCUCAUAAUCGACAAUCCACGUUAAACCUGACCUUUAUUUGUCAUCAGUUUGUAUACCGUCGUCGUCAGGUAACUUUUUAGAAUAGAGAAGUUAGCAAAGGAAGCAAGCUCAUAAUCUUUGACGUCAGAUCAAGGUGCAGCCUAUAUAAAGGGGAGGAUGGGUUACAAUUAUUAUAGUCAUAAGUACGGAAUAAUUACUUUAAAGGUGACUAUGAAGGAGGACUUGAAAGUAAAGUGAAUUACAUAGAUAAUUUGAAUUAAGCUCUGAAACGUGCACACACCGCCCGUCACCCCCUGCAGUCAAAAA
rnacentral:rRNA from 1 species